CGCCCUCUUUUCCUCUCUCUCUCUUGCCCCUUCCUUCUCUCAAAACUAUGGCAAAAAAUUUGUUACACCACGCACUGCACGGCACUUUAAAUUCCCCGGUAAUAAUUUGGCAUGCCACACUUGAC